rnacentral:rRNA from 1 species
ACGAACGCUGGCGGCGUGGAUUAGGCAUGCAAGUCGAACGAGGAUAUAUCCUUCGGGAUAUAAGCCGAGUGGCGCAAGGGUGAGUAAUGCAUAGAUUACCUGCCUCCGGGAUAAGGACAACUUUGUGAAAACGAAGCUAAUACUUAAUAAUACAAAAGAAAAUAAUUUUCUUUUGUCAAUGGGAGGGUAGCAAUACCUUUUGCCUGGAGAGGGGUUUAUGUCCUAUCAGCUUGUUGGUGGGGUAAUGGCCUACCAAGGCGAAGACGGGUAGCCGGUCUUAGAGGAUGGUCGGCCACACUGGGACUGAGACACUGCCCAGACUUCUACGGAAGGCUGCAGUCGAGAAUCUUUCGCAAUGCCCGAAAGGGUGACGAAGCGACGCCGCGUGGGUGAGGAAGGCCUUCGGGUUGUAAAGCCCUGUCAGGAGUUAAGAAAUGUAAGUGUGCUAAUACCGCAUUUAUUUGACGAAGGCUCCAAAGGAAGCCACGGCUAACUCUGUGCCAGCAGCCGCGGUAAUACAGAGGUGGCAAGCGUUGUUCGGAAUUAUUGGGCGUAAAGAGCACGUAGGUGGGUUUGUAAGUCAGAUGUGAAAGCCUUCUGUUCAACGGAAGAAUUGCAUCUGAAACUGCGAGUCUUGAGUGUAGGAGGGGAGAAUGGAACUUCUGGUGGAGCGGUGAAAUGCGUAGAUAUCAGAAGGAACGCCGGCGGCGAAAGCGAUUCUCUGGCCUAUUACUGACACUCAGUGUGCGAAAGCUAGGGGAGCAAACGGGAUUAGAUACCCCGGUAGUCCUAGCCGUAAACGAUGGGCACUAAGUAGAGGGAAUUACCGAUGUUCUCUCUGCCGUAGCUAACGCAUUAAGUGCCCCGCCUGGGGAGUACGGCCGCAAGGCUAAAACUCAAAAGAAUUGACGGGGGCUCGCACAAGCGGUGGAGCAUGUGGUUUAAUUCGAUGCAACGCGAAGAACCUUACCUGGACUUGACAUGCACGGGACAGCCAUAGAAAUAUGGUUUCUCUUCGGAGCCCGUGUGCAGGUGCUGCAUGGCUGUCGUCAGCUCGUGUCGUGAGAUGUUGGGUUAAGUCCCGCAACGAGCGCAACCCCUACCUUUAGUUGCCAGCGGGUCAUGCCGGGAACUCUAAAGGGACUGUCGGUGAUAAACCGGAGGAAGGUGGGGAUGACGUCAAGUCCUCAUGGCCUUUAUGUCCAGGGCUACACACGUGCUACAAUGGCCGGUACAAAGAGUUGCAAUACCGCGAGGUGGAGCUAAUCUCAAAAAACCGGUCUCAGUUCGGAUUGGAGUCUGCAACUCGACUCCAUGAAGUUGGAAUCGCUAGUAAUCGUGGAUUAGCAUGCCACGGUGAAUACGUUCCCGGGACUUGUACACACCGC